AGAUGUCAGCUGGCCUGGACCCCCACAGGAGCUUUUGUGGUCCUCAGCACCCCUGAAAAACGUUCCAAUGCAAAACUGAUAUUACUGCAAAGGUGGGACCCUGGAGGUAUAAGAACGAAAGGUGCCAUCUGUGUCCUCAAGAAGUGUG